rnacentral:piRNA from 1 species
AGUGAUCUUCACCUCAUCUGCACCUGUCUC